GUGGAGUCUCGCUCUGUUGCCCAGGCUGGAGUGCAGUGGUGCCAUCUCGGCUCACUGCAAUCUCCACCUCCCAGGGUUCACACCAUUCUCCUGUCUCAGCCUCCCGAGAAGCCGGGACUACAAGCACCUGCCACCACACCCGGUUAAUUUUUUGUAUUUUUAGUAGAGACAGGGUUUCACCAUGUUAGCCAGGAUGGCCUCGAUCUCCUGACCUCAUGAUCUGCCCACCUCAGCCUCCCAAAGUGUUGGGAUUACAGGCAUGAGCCACCGCGCCAGGUGGUUUUAUAAGGGAAUUUUCCCCCACUUUGCUCUGCACUUAUCCUUGCUGCUGCCAUGUGAAAAAGGAUGUGUUUGCUUCCCCUUCUGCCAUGAUUGUAAGUUUCCUGAGCCCUGUGUCCCAGCUGCUCCAGCGGUGACUAAAAGAGGCCAAGGUAUAGCUCAGGUCGUUGCUUCAGAGGGUGCAAGACCCAACUCUUGGGUUGGGUCUUGGCGUUGGUGUUGGUCCUGCAGAGGCACAUAAGACAAGAAUUGAGGUUUGGGAACUUUCGCUUAGAUUUCAGAGGAUGCAUGGAAAUGCCUGGAUGUCCAGGGAGAAGUUUGGUGCAGGGGUGGAGUCCUCCUGGAGAACCCCUGCUAGGUCAGUGCAGAAGGGAAAUGUGAGGUGGGAGCCACCACACAGAGUCCCCACUUGGGCACUGCCUAGUGUGGCUGUAAGAAAAGGGUCACCAUUCUCCAGAACCCAGAAUGGUAGAUCCACAGACAGCUUGCACCAUGCACCUGGAAAAGCCACAGACACUCAAUGCCAGCCAUGAAAAAACCCAAGAGUGGGGCUGUACCCUGCAAAGCCACAGGGGCAGAGCUGCCCAAGAUUGUGGGAGCCCAUCUCUUGCAUCAGUCUAACCUGGAUGUGAGACAGGGAGUCAAAGGAGAUCAUUUUGGAACUUUGCAGUUUAAUGACUGCCCCGUUGAAUUUCAGACUGGCAUAGGUCCUGAACCCCCUUUGUUUUGGUCAGUUUCUCCCAUUUGGAAUGGGUGUAUUUUCUCAAUGCCUGUCCCCAUUAUAUAGCUAAAUUGCUUUUGAUUUUACAGGCUCCUAGGGACCUGAGAAAAGGCACUUGUCUUGUCUCAGAUGUGACUUUGGACUUGGACUUUUGAGUUCAUGCUAGAAUGAGUUAAUACCUGGGAGGACUGUUGGAGGGACAUGAUUGUGUUUUGAAUUUUGAGGACAUGAGUUUUGUGAGGGGCUAGGGUGGAAUGAUAUGGUUUGGCUAUGUUGCCAGCCAAAUCUCAUCUUGAACUGUAGUUCCCAUAAUCCUCAGGUGUUAUAGGAGGAACCUGGUGGGAGGUAAGUGGAUCAUGGGGGCGGUUACCUCCAUGCUGUUCUCAUAAUAGUGGGUGAGUUCUCAUGAGAUAUGAUGGAUUUUUAAGGUGCUUUUCUCCAACUUCGCUCUGCACUUUUCCUUGCUGUCGCAAUGUAAGGAAGGAUGUGUUUGCUUCCCCUUCUGCCAUGAUUGCAAGUUUCCUGAGGUCUCCCCAGUCAUGCUAAACUGUGAGUCAAUUAAACUUCUUUCCUUUAUAAAUUACUCAGAUUUGGGUAUGUACUUAUUAGCAACGUGAGAAUGGACUAAUACAGGUUUUAGCUAUAGGAUGUGGGAGACAUCAUAAAGAAUUUCUUACAUUUAAAAAAUCUUAUUUCCCGCCAUGUGUAGUAGCGACCCAGCAUCCCCUUAAUAAUCAGAAUCUAUUAUCCCAGACAAUAGAUUAACUUCCUCUUUGUAUAUUGAUUAGGAAGGACAAGGAACCCAAAAUGGGUAGGUAGUAGCCUCAACAUCCAUUUUGCUGCAAUCAUUGUUCUGUCUCCUGGUGGAAGUAUUUCUCCUUUUGGAACAAAGAUCUGUAGACCAUCAUAGGCUACAGUUGAGGAGACAUAAUGCAAAAAUAUAUCUGAGAGAUCAUUAAGGGUAAUAAUGCAUAGAGUUACUCCCAUUUCCACUCCUUAAUUCCUGGACAAAUAAACCCUGGCUGUAGGGAAAACAGCACCAUAUAAUGGAUGGUGAUGUAGAGCAUUAACACAUCCUAGAGGAAAGUGCUCCUAUCCUGACUCCUGCUAGGUAUUUCCAUUUAGCUGAAAGUGUAACUGAGUCUUCAAAAGACUGUCCAACAUUCUAUAAAGUCAGCUACUUCAAGACAAUUUGUAACAGGCUAGUGGAUUCCAUGAGCAUGAGAUCAUUGCCACAUUUAAUCACUACAAAGUAAGUUCCUUGACCAGAGCUGUGUAUAAUACUGUGAUGGUGGAUAAGAUAUUCUCUAAGUCGACAGGUGCUAAUUUUGGCAGAAAUAUUGUAUGCAAGGAAAGCAAGUCCAUGUUCAGAAGAAGUGUCUACUCUAGUAAGAACAAUGUAUCUUCUAUGAUGAAAGCAGUUCUCUGUAAUCAAGCAACCAUCAGGUAGUUGGCUGUUAUCUUGGGGCAUGGUUCUAUUAUGAGGACUCAGUGUUGGUCUUUGCUGCUGGCAGAGUAUAGACUUAGGUCAGGAAAGCCCCAGUGAGUAUAAUUUCAUGUUUCUGAGCCCAUGCAUCAUCUCCAUUCCUGACAUCAUAGCCAAUUUGUUCAGAGCUCGUUAGUGGCUGGAGUGUCUGAAGAAAGAGAUGACUGGCAUCCAGACAUUUUUUCCUAUCCACUUGAUUAUUAAAAUCAUUCUCUGUUGACGUAAUCCUUUGUUGAAGAUUCAUAAGAGAUGCCAACAUGUUCACCCACUUUAUUCAUUUUGUGAGAUCUAUAUACAUACUGCUUUCCAAGACUUCUUUGUCACCAAUUUUUCCAAUUAUGUUUCUUCCAAGUUCCUAACCAUCCAUCCAAACCAUUAGCCUCACCCCAUUGAAUAAUACAGAGUCAUAUAUCUGACCAUUUCUCCUUCAAUGGAAAGUGAACAAUGAGGUGAACUGCUCUAAGUUCUGCCCACUGAAAGAACUUUUCCUCACCACUGUCCUUCAAAAAUGUCCCAGAAAAGAGCUAGAGUGAUGGAGUUUUCUACUUUUGGCUGGUGCUGCAUGUUGUGCAGAACUAUCUGUAAACCAGGUCUGAGUUUUCACUUUCUCAGUUAACUGAUAAGAAACUCCCAAUGAGGCCAUUGGUGUGGGCUGAGAUUGAGAAGAUAAUGUAGCAGGAGUAGGGCCGUGGGCAUUUGUGUUACUUCCUUAUGUAACUUACCAUUGCCCGGAAAGCCACCUCAAGCCUCACAUAUACCACUUCCAUUGACUGGCACAGUGCUGCUGUGCAUGCCUAACUUCCAUGCUUAGUAGAUUAGACAGCAACCAGUUCAUGAUAGAUAGCUCAGAUCACAUUAUAACUUGGUGGUCCAUGAUAAUAUAUUCGGUCCCUAUUAAGACCUGGGACCAAGCCAAAAACUGUUUCUCAAAAAUAGUAUACACCUCUCCUCAAAUAAUGUCAUUUUGUUAUAAUGUUGAUAAGAAAAAAAAAUCAAUUCCCUUUCAGGCUACUGUCUGUGUGGAGUUUGCACAGUCUCCCCAUGUCUGUGUGGGUUUUCUUCAGGGACUCCUGUCUUCUCUCACUUCCCAAAGUUGUGCAUGUUAGGUGAAGUGGAGUGUUUAAAUCAUCCCCACUGGAGUGAGUGUGGGUGUGUGUGAGUGCACUCUGUGAUGGAUGGGGUCCUGCCCGGGUUGCACCCUGAGCUGCUGAGAUAGGCUCCAGCCACUUGUGACCCUGAACUGGAAUAAUUGGGUAAACAAUUAUCUUACUUGUUUUCAUUAACCUUUCUUAAAUAUGUGUAUAGCCCAUAUUUAUUUUAAUAUUUAAUAUUAGAAGCGUUUUCAUCUUUAUUUAAAAGUUGGGUGAUGUUUCUGUGACCAGAAACAUGCGUAUUGCUUGAAGGUGCAGUUUUUGAGAAUCUAUAGAUCAGGUCAAGUGAGGACUUACUGUACAUAUCUGCAGAAAAUAGCAGAGUUUUACUCUAAAAUCCUGAGUCUGUGUUAUGAUUCACUUAUAAGAGGCUUCCAAAGACUCCAAAAAGCAUCUCUCUCUGACACUGACAUUUUAAAUGUCAUCAGAUCUUCCGGAUCAUGGCUUGCUGGUGACACAUGGCCCAAAUGUCAGAACAGCUUGCACAGCAGGCUAGACCUGAUGCAGAGCCCUUUCUUGAUCUUGCUUCUACUCAAAACUAGUAGCUUUUCAGGUCUUUCAGUAAAUGGGCUGGAGUAGUACACACAAAAAGAACAAUGUGCUGCCUUGAAAAUCUAAAGAGGCCUCCUAUGCAUUGUGCUUCUUUUUUGGCUGUAGGAGGACCAAUCAGAUACAAAAAUCUUAUUUUUCACCUGAGAAGGAAUACUUUGACCUUCCUUUCACCAUUAGACCCUGGGAAUUAGUUGAUACGGAAGGCCUCUCAAUUUUUGCGAAAUAUAUUUCCCACCCUCUGAAACACAAGUGUCCAGAGCAGUUGCUACUUUCUGGUUACCAGGUCCAAUCAGCAUAAUGUCAUCAAUGCAAUGGAACGGACUGAUUUUCUGCAGAAAGGGAAAUCAAUCAAGGUCCCAGUGGACUAAAUGAUGAUAUAAGGCUGAAGAAUGGACGCAUCCUAUGAAGUCUCGCUCUGUCACCCAGGCUGUAGUGUAGUGGGGUGACCUUGGCUUACUGCAACCUCCACCUCCUAGGUUCCAGCGAUUCUCCCACCUCAGCCUCCUGAGUACCUGAGAUUAUAGGCACCUGCCACCAUGCCCAGCUAAUUUUUGUAUUUUUAGUAGAGACUGUGUUUCACCAUAUUGGCCAGGCUGGUCUUGAACUCCUGACCUCAAGCGAUCUGCCCACCUUGGCCUCCCAAAGUGCUGGGAUUACAGGCAUGAGCCACAGUGCCUGGCCUACGUAUUUCUUUUUAAAGACUGACUUUUCAUUUAGAUUAAAUGAUUGCUCUUCUAAAGUAAUUUACUCUUUGUUGGUUUUAAGAAAUCUUUUGCAUGUAUAAGGUAUAAAACAACAACUGUUUAUAUGUUACUUCCAUUAGCCGAUGAACUAGCGGUUAAAUGAUGCUUCAAAUAGAAAAUAAGUUAAUUCCACUAAUAGAUUGUGUUUUCAUUAAAGUCAUAAACAUGAAAUAACACUUUACAAAGUUCAUUUUGUUGAGUAUCUUGCAUUACUGUGAAUUAUAUUGUAAAGUAGUUUAAAGUUUAACAUUAAAGAUAAAAUUAUUAUUUUUGCUGUUAUGGUAUGAAUAAAAAAAUUUGAUUAACUUUUUUAUCAUGUUUCAGUAAACAAAGCAUGCAGAAUGGAAACAAUAAUCUUACUAAGUUAAAAAACUUUUUUGAACUUUUCUGAAUAGAAAUGUUCUUGGAAUUCGUCGUGCACAUGAUUGUUCAUAAUUACUAAUUACAAAUAUUACUAAUUAUUAUUUCUAUUAUAUAUAAUAUGUAUAAUAUUAUUAAUUAUUCAUAAUUACUAAUUGAAAUAGAGACGCUAGUUGUUGGGGUAACAAAAGUAGUGCAUUUUUGAGAUGAAGCUGGCUUUCAGUACAAACAUAUUCUAAAUUAUGCUGGUGGCUAUGCAGUUUUUCUCUGUGCUGGUCAUCAACAAUUAGAUUUAGAUGUGUUUGAGCACUUGAAGAAGUACUAUGAAACUGAACUUAAAUAAAAGUAUUUAGCAAUUGUGAUGCCAAAAAGCUUUAGCUUGUGAAGCUUUAUCAAUUUCCAAUUCUUAAAAGCAAAGGUUGUAAAGAGGAGGACAUUGAAACUGAUCCUUGUAGAAAUGGAGCCAAUUAAAUAAUAAAGGCACAAACUAUGUAAAACAUUUAAUUUUUAAAUUAUAUUAUUGGACUCCAGAAUAUUUAAACUUGUGAGAUGUAGUCUGAUAAAUCUCCUAUUUUUAAUUGGAUAAACUUGCAAUAUAUACCAAAAAGGAUAAAAUUUACAAAAAAAAAAUUUGCAUGAUCUCCAUAGUCAUAAAUUGAGACAUCUGCAAUGACUUUUGUCUGAUAAAAAAAUCUACCAAAGACAAGUACUCUGAAUGGAAGCAAAAACAAGAGCUCUUUUAAGAUAUUUGAACUAAAUUGGACCCUUAUCUUGCACUAUGGAUAAAAAUCAUCUAAAAAUGGACAAAAUACCUAAGUGUAAGACCUGAAGCCAUAGAACUCAUGGAACAUAGGGGAAAAACUCCACAACAUUGGUCUUGGCAAUAAUUUUUUUGGGAUGCCAUACCAAAAGCUCAGGCUACAAAAGAAAAAAUAAAUCACAUCACACACUGGGCCCUGUCAUGGGGUUGGGGGAGGGGUAGGGAUAGCAUUAGGAGAUAUACCUAAUGUAAAUGACGAGUUAAUGGGUGCAGCACACCAACAUGGCACAUGUAUACAUAUGUAACAAACCUGCACAUUGUGCACAUGUACCCUAGAACUUAAAGUAUAAUAAAAAAAAGAAAAAAUAAACCAAUGGGAAUACAUCACACUAAAAACCUUCUACACAGCAAAGAAAACAAUUUAAAAAUGAAAAUGCAGGCUACAGACUGGAAGAAAAUUUUUGCAAAUCAUACAUCUGAUAAUGGCUAAUAUCCAAAAUUUAUUUUAAAAACCCACAUAAUUCAAUAGCAGAAAAACAACCCAAUUAAAACAUGGACAAAUGAUAUGAGCAGACCUUCAAAGAAAACAUAAAAAUGGACACUAGGUAUAUGAAAAGGAGCUCAACAUCACUAAUCAUAAUGGAAAUGCAAAUUAAAACCACUAUGAGAUAUCACCUUACACCAGUAAGGAAGGCUAUUAUCAAAUGGAUAAGAUGAAAAUGUUGGCAAAGGUGUGAAGAAAAGGUAACCGCAGUGCACUGUUGAUGGGAAUAUAGACUGAUCUAGCCAUUAUGGGAAGAAAUAUGUAGGGUCUUAGAGAUACUAAAAAUAUAACUGCCAUAUGACUCAGAAAUCCUUCUUCUGAAUAUAUACCAAUAUACCAAAAGGAGAUUAUCACCACCUUGUAAAGAUUGGCAUUCCCAUGUUCAUUGCAGCAUUAUUUGCAGCAGUCAAGAUAUGGAAAGAACCUAAAUGCCCAUUGAUGGAGGUAUAAAGAAAAUGUGGUAUAUAUACACAAUGAAAUAUUACACAGCCUUAAAAAGGAGAUCCUACCAUUUGUCAAAACAUGCAUGAACCAGGAGGACCCUAUGCUAAGUGAAAUAAGCAACACAGAGAAAAAAAUAUUGCAUGAUUUCAAUUAUAUAUUAAAUAUAAAAUAAUAAAAGAGCUCAAAUACACAGAGAUAAAGAAGGAAACAGUGGUUACCAUUGGUGGGAGAGGGAGAGAGGAAAUGAGGAAGAUGUAGGUCAAAAGAUGUACAAUAGCAGAUAGGUAGGAUGAACAAAUCUAAAGAUCUAAUGUACAACAUGAAGACUAAAUAAAAUUGAAUUGUGUUAAGGAUAUUUGUUAAGUAGAUUUUAUCUGCUGUUGUCACAUCAAAAAACAAGUUAUGUGAGAUGAUAGAUAUACUAAUCUGCUUCACUCUAGAACCAUUAUAUUUCCUACGAUGUAUCUAUAUGUACUCCAUAACAUUAUGUUGUAAACCUCAAAUAUAUACAAUAAAAUACAUUUAAAAAAAAAAAUAGGCCAGGCGCGGUGGCUCAUGCCUGUAAUCCCAGCACUUUGGGAGGCCGAGGCGGGCGGAUCACGAGGCCAGGAGAUCGAGACCACGGUUAAACCCUGUCUCAACUCAAAAAAAAAAAAAUACAAAAAAUUAGCCGGGCGCAUUGGCGGCGCCUGUAGUCCCAGCUACUCGGGAGGCUGAGACAGGAGAAUGGCGUGAACCCAGGAGGCGACACUUUCAGUGAGCUGAGAUCGCACCACUGCACUCCAGCCUGGGUGACAGAGCGAGACACUGCCUCAAAAAAAAAAAAAAAAAAAAAAAAAAAAAAAACAACAACAACAGUGGGACUAAAAUAUGUAUACAUUUUAAUAUUAAAAGAAAAAGCUGUGAUACAUAAUGAUUAUACAUAUGUAUGGGGAACAUUGUUCGUUUCAAUACAUGGAGAGAUUGUGUAAUCAUCAAAUCAGAGUCAUUAGAAUUUCAUCACCUCAAAUAUUUAUCAGUUUUUUGUGGUGAGGACAUGCAAAUUAUUUUCCUCUAGCUUUUUUUGAAAUAUACAAUAUAUUUCCAUUAUCUGAGAAUAUGCUGUAUUUAGCAAAAAAUAAUUUGCGAUUACUAGGUACUUCAGUGCAUGUAGAGAGGGUAUUUUCUCAGUUAAAAGUAAUGUAUUCUAUGGAGACCAGUCAAUUGAAGGUUUCAACAAUUUCAAAUUUAUUAGCAUAAAGCACAGCUUUGAAAACAAAUGCAGGCAAUUUUAUGAAAAAAUGGAAAACAAUAAAACUGUAUUUCAAAAAUACAUUGUCCACAAAUAGAAUAAUAAUGACCAAUAUUACUUGUACAACUAAGAUGGUGUUUAAAUUAAAUGAAUAUAUAACAUAAAUAAUCAUACUACUUGUUAUUUAAUGUGCUGAUAAUCAAUACAAAUAUUCUUUUGCUUUUAUGAAUAGAAAUAGAUAUUGCUUUCUUAAAGAAACAUUUUAUUUCAAAAAUAUUUUAUAACACUUCCAUAGGCCCAAACCCCACUUGUUAGUAAAUACUUAUUUUAAACUUGUAUAAGAUUAUAGUUAUUUUAAUACUCUUUUUAAUCUCAAAAUAGACUUGUUUGGCCAAUAAAGUAUAUGAACCCCUUUAUUACAGAAAAAUAAGCAGACAGUCAUACUACAGCAUGAUUUUAGAGUAGGGAAAAUACAGGAUUCUUUUGCAAAAGAAUAAAAAGCUGUCUAAUCUACUCCCUGGUGGAGAGGGUGUCAUGGAAUAUUUAUUAGAGGAAGUUGAUGACAUUUAUACCUAAAAGAUAGGAUAAGUUAUCCAACUGAGGAAACAGAGAAGACUGUUUCAGGGAGGGUGAACAGCAAAAAAAACUAGCUCAGGGGUAAAGUUAGGCCCUCCCCAUGAAAUAAGCAGGGUCUUUGGAGUUGCAUAAAAUAAUUUGGAAUUAAACCAAAGAUAAGGGGGAAAUCAAUACAGUGCUUAAAUAAAGUAGUGUCCUGAGAAGGAUUUUCUGAAGGGCAUUUAGAAGAUUGAUUCUAAAACACACAUAAGUUUCUUAAUUCUUUUAUUCUGACCUGAUGGAUUUUCUAGUCCAGCCAGUUGUACCCCUGACCUUGUGCUCUCUUUUUCUGGUAUGGCUUUCCUAGGCUCAAAAAUCCCAAAGUGCUACCCUCUAAAAUUAUGGAUAAAAGGCUCUAUUAAUAUUUAUGUCUCCUUGUGGCAGGCCACAGAUAUGAAUUAAUUACUGCAUCUGCACAGAUGUGGCCUGAUUACGCAAGGCGGAACUAAGCUAAACAGCCAGCAUGAUAAACCCAAGACUGGCAAGGUAGCAGGAGAAUUUUGAGAUAUAUUCAAGUUGAAUGCUUUUAUCGGUUCUAAGUUGUUAGUUCUUGGAGGAGAGUAUUGUUCCCUAACAAAGCCUAACACAGUGUGCAGUACACAACAAGUACUCACUAAAUAUUUGUGAGAUGAAUAAAACCAAGAAUCUUGAAUAUGUUUUAGGCCUAUCACUAUAAAAAAAUUUUAAUGUCUUAUUGUAAUUGUUCUAUUUUGUUUUGACAGGUGAUGAAAAUAAUGCUUCCCUUAGUUGAAAUUCUUAGGAAAAUGGCUCCAUAAAUAUGUAUGUAGGAUGCUAUUACUCACUCAUUAUUGACAGUUGUAUCAAGUGUGAUAUAAAACACAAUUUUCAGUGACAAUGGAAUAAUUACAGUCUUGUAGUCUUGGAAUAGCCCCUGAUCACUACUGUUGCUGAUUCUGUCAUUAUAUUUUGUGUCACCUGGUUCCCAGUGGACUGUCAACACUCUUUACAUCCUGGAAUCUGAAAUCAAUUUUGUUGAGUUAACAAAGCUACAUCAUUACAUGUAUCAACUGGGGGAUCUCAGAUAAAUUCAUAUGGGUCUGAUUAUCCUUAAAUAAACCAUAUAAACAGUAGAUUGUUAUAACUGACAAGGGAUCGUGUUCUGUCUAGUCAGAGAACUUAAGUUAGGGAGGCAUGCUGUACAAAGUAUAAAAAUGUUUCAAAGGAUAGAAUUGUUAAAUUUCUGUUGUUUUAAGCCACCCAUUGUGUAGUACUCUGUUAUAGUAGCCCAAGAAAACCAAUACACUGUAUAAUGGAACAUUAUUUAGCCAUAAAAAAUGAAUUAAGGGCUGAUACAUGCUACAAUGCAGACAGACUUUAAGAAAACAUAAUGUUAAGUACAAGAAACCAGACACACAAGACUAUUUAUUAUGUGGUUCCACUUAUAUGAGACGUCUAAAACAGAAAAAUCUAUAGAGAUAAGCAAAUUAGCACAUGUCAAGGGCUGGGGUGAAAUGUAGAGUGACUACUAAUGAGUACACAAUUUUUUUUGAGAUGAUGAAAAUGUUCUAAAAUUGUCGUGAUAGUUGCAUAACUCUGUCAUUAUACCAAAAAAAUCAUUGAAUUGUAUAAUUUAAAAAGUAUGUGAAUUAUAUCUCAAUAAAAUAUUUUAAAAACAGAAUUAUUUAACAUAGUUGUGGUUGUAUUAGUGAACAACAAGCUAUCAUUGAAAGUCAGCUUCAUGAAAUUUCCUAAGUGAUAUUUUGAAAUACUAGGUUAUUCACCCAUACAUUUCCUUAAAUCAAAGGAAAUCCCUGCACCUGGAGUAAGACCACCCAACUACCAGCAGGAAAAGAGUAUUCAAAGACUCACUUGGAGUAAUAAUUAUCUAGUAGGAGUCAGGUGGGACUCCUAGAAAUUUGUAUGUGCUCCUUGGAGACCGUCCAACCCUCUCUGUUGCAAUAUUCACAACCCUAUCCCCAUUACCUGAUUUGGGACCAUCUGUUCUUAAACACUUCUGUGAAUCUUUCUUUCAUUGUAUAACAUUAAUUGAAAUGAACUUUUUCCUUGAGGACACUGUUUCCCAUGUAGACCUUUCAAGCAGUGGAUUUUUUUUACUUCCACAUACCACAACACAGAAAAAAAGGUUUACUUUUCAUGUAUUUCUUUUCUUUUAAGACCUACUCUAAGUAGUAGAAUUUUUUAUCAGUGAGAUUUAUUUGCCUUGCUUAUGGAGACUCACUUUGACUAACAUUAGAUACUUAAUUUUUUAUGUGGAUUAGUACACAAUUAUAUUCAAUUUUCUCAAAGAGUACACAUUCUCUCAAAGCAGCGUAUUAAAACCAAAAUGUUUUAUGUGACCCUAAGUUCUCUUUUCCCCAAGGUGACAUAAUAACAAUAUUUCUUAGAAAUUUCUUCAUGCACAGGGAGACAGCUGAUCUUUUAUCAUGUCUCAAGGACAUAUCAUCAUAAAUGGAUGGCAUUCUAAUAAAUGGAAAUUAAAUGGUGCGAUAGAUUGUUCUGGUACUGAGAAGGAAGGUCUGGGCUAGUUAAUUAGACUUAACAGUCAUUUAGACAAAAGAUAAAAAGAUGAUGGAACUUCACUGGAGUGAGGUUACUUGCUUUCCUUCAGCCUACACUCUCAGUUCUGCUAAUGACCUAUUUGUUUCUCAAACCUAGUCUACCCUGGCCAUAUCGACCCCAAAGAGAAACUAGAUAACUUAUGCCAACUUGAGGCAAUAACUGGGAGAUUAGAGAGAUAACCAGCAAUUGGUACCUUCUUUUCUUUUUCCUUCUUUCUUUAUCUUCCUCCCCUCAAAUAGUCCAGAAGUUAAUAUGGCUCAUUUUUUUCCUUUGCUCCGUGUGAAUGGAUUAGUAACGAUUGCUUUGAAAUAACCUAAAACAAUGCCCUACAGAUACAUUAGCCGCCAUUUCCUGUGCAGAAUUCUUCAUUAGCUCUGCUCAAACCUUAUACUUUGAUGACCUCUGCCUCCUUCUACAUUUUUCUCUCAUGAUUAUUGCACCAAAAUUCCAUUUUGUUAUCAAAUCUAGGACCUUAGGGGGAGUCAUGAAGCAUGCUGUCUCCCUUGCCCAUUCUCUCUUACAUAGCCCAACAAAUCCACCCAUUAGAACAAUUACCUUUUUACUUCCUGAAUUUGUCCCCAACCACUUAUCUUGUCUAUUACCACUGUCUCAGCUUCAUGCAGGAUCUAAUUUUUUUCAGAACUAUUGUAAUAUUCUUCUAAUUGGGCUCUCUGCUUAGUCUUGCUUUUAACUAAUACAUCGAAUGGCUGUCAAUGUGAUCUUAAGUAACAUAUAUCAAUCACUAUGUUACUCCCUUUGUAAACUCCUUCAGUGAAUUUCAUAUUUUUUUAAAAAAAAUCUAAGUCUCCUGGAAUAACACAUAAACCUGAACUUAUAUGAAUAAUUCUUUUUCAGAGUUUGCCAAAAGAAAAUGAAAAAGUCAAGUAAAACAGUUUAAUUAAAAAUAAUCACCUUUCUCACUUCUUAAAAAAUUCAGACCUUAUCUCGUCAUUUGGUCUCAUAGCUUUUGUUUUUCCCUUUUUAAAAAUUGCUCUCUCUCCAUCUCAGUCUACAGUAGGAUCUUGAUGCAUAAGAGCUUUUAUAUUUCCACACAUUUAAAUGUUAUUAUUUCUACUCCAUGGAAUGCCCUUUCCUUUCAUGACGC
rnacentral:lncRNA from 1 species